ensembl:snoRNA
UUGCACUGUUCGUAACCUUUUGACAGCAUUUUUCUGCAAAUAGGUUCCAUUCCAGUGCUACAUUAAAUCCAGUAAUGGAAGGCUGACAAACUCCAUGUCCCUUCUUGUAUUUGGAGACAAAG